rnacentral:rRNA from 1 species
UACGGAGGGGGCAAGCGUUGUUCGGAAUUACUGGGCGUAAAGCGCACGUAGGCGGCUUUGUAAGUUAGGGGUGAAAGCCCGGAGCUCAACUCCGGAAUUGCCUUUAAGACUGCAUCGCUUGAAUCCGGGAGAGGUGAGUGGAAUUCCGAGUGUAGAGGUGAAAUUCGUAGAUAUUCGGAAGAACACCAGUGGCGAAGGCGGCUCACUGGACCGGUAUUGACGCUGAGGUGCGAAAGCGUGGGGAGCAAACAGG